UACAGAGGGGGCAAGCGUUGUUCGGAAUUACUGGGCGUAAAGGGCGCGUAGGCGGCCUGCUAAGUCGAACGUGAAAUCCCUGGGCUCAACCCAGGAACUGCGUCCGAUACUGGUUGGCUUGAAUCCGGGAGAGGGACGUGGAAUUCCAGGUGUAGCGGUGAAAUGCGUAGAUAUCUGGAGGAGCACCGGUGGCGAAGGCGGCAUCCUGGACCGGCAUUGACGCUGAGGCGCGAAAGCCAGGGGAGCAAACGGG
rnacentral:rRNA from 1 species